rnacentral:rRNA from 1 species
UACAGAGGUGCCAAGCGUUAGGCGGAAUCACUGGGCUUAAAGCGUGUGUAGGUGGAUGCCUAAGUACCUUGUGAAAUCCCACGGCUUAACCGUGGAACUGCUCGGUAUACUGGGUGUCUUGAGCCAACUAGGGGCAGUCGGAACAAACGGUGGAGCGGUGAAAUGCGUAGAUAUCGUUUGGAACGCCAAUGGUGAAAACAGACUGCUGGGGUUGUGCUGACACUGAGACACGAAAGCCAGGGGAGCGAACGGG